GUCCUGACAAUGAACAAGGUGACACGAACAGUCUUCAACAGACGGAGAGCACAUACAUUCAUUCUGCGGUUUAAAAAUAUAUGCAUAUCCAUUUCUAUAAUCACAUCUACAUUUCACGUCUUUCGUAUUUGAUCCAUUGUCCACUACAAUUUGACCUUCUUCACUGCAUAUUGAUUUUUGAUACUGGCAGUCAUAGCUAGUAUUGGACC
rnacentral:lncRNA from 1 species